GAUAUUGAACAUCUGGCAUUGAUUUAUCUCGAGGAUACUGUGUAUAAAGUCAGCUGUGACUAUCGUGGUCGUUCGUUUGGACCAAAGACGAUAUACAGAGCACGUCUUUAUGAUUACAGAACAAGUCUUUAUGAUGAGAAACGUGAGAGCAACAAGUGUGACUUUGAAUUCAGAGAUCUGAGCUAUGAUACGGGAUACACAGUGGAGGUGACUGUUUUCAAUGGAGUGCUGGAGAGCAGACCCGAGACAAGCUCCAUUUACACCGGGUACAACUACAAAGCUGCCAUUAUUAAUUUUCUGUGCCUCCCCAUUGCCAACAUAUUGGUUGUGGUGUUUAUGGUGAUCUAUGAGAACUACAUGAAGAAGCGCAGAGAGUCCAGAAGUGGUGUGAAUGACGACAUGAUGCUUGAAUCAACAGCAAUCUACAUGAAUACACGACCUCCUGGACGGCGUCAUAAAGCAGCUCGCUGAUGAAGGAAGGCCUGAUGGAGCUUCACAUCAAAUCACCAUUUACUCUCUAUAAGUUUUCAAGUUAUUCAGCUUGCGGAAGAUCUUUGAUCACAUUUUAGAGGCUAUUUUUAAAUUUGUAUUGUUAUUAGCCAAGAGCUCCAAUAUUUUACUCUAUUGAAAUAUUGUUUAACAAAGUAAAUUCUGUGGUAUCUUCAUCCAUUUGUUGCAUUUUGGAAUUUAAAUGAUUUUGAUGCUUUGGUGUGCAUAUUUUACCAUGUUAGAAAGUGCCACUUUUCUUGCUGAUGUUUUGA